CAGUCGCCGCGGGAAUACGAAGGGUGCAAGCGUUACUCGGAAUUACUGGGCGUAAAGCGUGCGUAGGUGGUGGUUUAAGUCCGUUGUGAAAGCCCUGGGCUCAACCUGGGAAUUGCAGUGGAUACUGGGUCACUAGAGUGUGGUAGAGGAUAGUGGAAUUUCCGGAGUAGCAGUGAAAUGCGUAGAGAUCGGAAGGAACAUCUGUGGCGAAGGCGACUAUCUGGGCCAACACUGACACUGAGGCACGAAAGCGUGGGGAGCAAACAGGAUUAGAUACCCCAGUAGUCCCUGUCUCUUAUAC
rnacentral:rRNA from 1 species